rnacentral:lncRNA from 1 species
UUUGAUUUUAAUUAUUUCAGAGCUGAAGUUUGUUAUAAUCCCUUGCGAACACAAGAUGGCUGCUUCUGCUCCAGGCAUCUCAUCCAUGCUCAAGUGAAGAAUAAAUUGGUCAAAAGAAAAGUAGCAUCAAUCGGUUGUUUGAAGGGAAGAGAAAGACUCCUCCAACAGGCACCCAGCAGACAUUCACUGCCAAGCUACACCUGUUUCCCCAGCCACCCUAGCUACAAAGGAAACAGAGACAGCAGUUAUACAGCCUUCUAUCUUCUAUGCAGCCAGGCAGGCCUGGACAAGCAUACCCUGCAUGGGCACGAGCAGCUGCCAAUCACAUGUUGUCAAACCCGAGCUCCAGACAGACUCUUGCAGUCUGGUGGGCUUCACCCCACCCCUUUGAGCCUCCUGCACAGUCUGGGGAGAAAAAGGUUAAUGCCACACUGUGUUUGAGGUUCAUCAAACAUAUUAAACUUUCCUUGAAGAGCUUUGGAAAUGCCCAAGUGUUAAGAUGACCCUGCAAAGCACCUUGCCACUUAAUGUUAAAGCCUAUCUGUAUUUUGAUGGAAAUACAAUCCGUAAGUUUUCUUGAUUUAUAUUUCCUCCUCUACACAGUUCUAAGAGGUAGCUGAUUGAUGCCCAAAGGCCCUUUGAGGCUUUUUUAAACAAUUUUUUUCAUCAAAAAAAAGAAAAAGGAAGCUGCCUUCACUGGCAGCAGCAGGAAUUUGACUGCCAAACAUGUAGAGCCAGCC